UUGACAAAAUAUUCCCUUCA
rnacentral:piRNA from 1 species